GACUCAUGUGGAUUGAUCGUAAUAGGGGAUCCUCUGCAGAACACAAGUGGCUAUUGCCUAUUCAAGAUGCAGGGAAGAGCCUCUCCAGAGCUGCAGGCACCAAGGAGAAUCUUAACAUCAGACCAAGAUGACGUGGUGGGAAAAUGCUUCCCCAGGCCCCAGUGUGGCCAUGGGGUGGAAGGAACCAAGUGGACAGAGCCAUCCUGCACCCCAUCCCCCACUGAUCAUAUUCUCAGUCUAGCUGGUAAUAGCUCCAGGAGGGCAGAGCCUUGAUGGAUAAUGAGACCGUUCUCAAGAA